rnacentral:rRNA from 1 species
UACGUAGGGGGCAAGCGUUGUCCGGAUUUAUUGGGCGUAAAGAGCGUGUAGGCGGCUUUACAGGUCCGUUGUGAAAACUCGAGGCUCAACCUCGAGACGCCGGUGGAAACCGUAAAGCUAGAGUCCGGAAGAGGAGAGUGGAAUUCCUGGUGUAGCGGUGAAAUGCGCAGAUAUCAGGAAGAACACCCGUGGCGAAGGCGGCUCUCUGGGACGGUACUGACGCUGAGACGCGAAGGCCAGGGGAGCAAACGGG